rnacentral:rRNA from 1 species
CAAUAGCGUAUAUUAAAGUUGUUGCAGUUAAAAAGCUCGUAGUUGGAUUUCUGGCCGAGUGUCCCUAGGCCAGCAUGACGUUUGGUCCUAGGCGCUCUGCCAUCCUUCUGUCAACCUUCGCCUUCUUCAUUGGGGGCGCUGGGGCUCAGAUAUUUUACCUUGAGAAAAUUAGAGUGUUUCAGGCAGGCUUUCGCCGGAAUACAUUAGCAUGGAAUAAUGGAAAAGGACUUCAACCUCUUCUGUUGGUCUGAGAGGCUGUAGUAAUGAUUAAUAGGGAUAGUUGGGGGCAUUAGUACUUAACUGUCAGAGGUGAAAUUCUCCGAUUUGUUAAAGACUAACUUAUGCGAAAGCAUUUGCCAAGGAUGUUUUCAUUAAUCAAGAACGAAAGUUAGGGGAUCAAAGACGAUCAGAUACCAU